ensembl:lncRNA
AGUUCGUUUGCGUUGAUGAAUACAAAUUAAGUGUUUUAUUGACUUGUUCCAGUAUCACUUUGUGACUCCGUGCUGUUGUAGCUAUCUAAUGUAAGUUAGCUGUAUUUAAUAUUUCACUGGGUCUUGGAGCUGUUUCAUUCACUGAAAUAAUUAUGAAAUGUGAUGUUCUAUUAGCCAUUUCGUUACUUGAGCAAGUCACAGUAUUUCCAAGGUUUGAUAGUGUAACUGAGACGACACAGUAAAUAAUUCAUCUUUGCUAGUAGAAAGUAUGUUGUAUGGUAGCAUAGCAAGCUAGUAGUAUAACUACAAACCUUAACAUAUAGGCUAGUUUUUGCUUCUGUGGACGGCGUUUCAAAUUAACGUACUCUACGUACCUGUACGGUUGGGUUAUUGUAUAUUUACAUGUCAUUGUGGAUGUAAUUGUGUUGUUUUAAUUAGUGCGUUCCAAUUUUUCUGACGGUCUCCACAGCGCAAGUAAUUUUUUUCGAAACUGUAGUUGGCUAGUUAGCUAGGCUACCUUAAUUAGCUGUAUAGUUAGGCUACCUACCAUUAAACUCGUAGCAAUGGUAGCUACACUACCAUGGUUGUUGUACUUGCUACGUAUUAAGCGGUUCAAGGUUUGAUCGUUUAGAAGCUCCAUUGAAAACAUAUAGAACUACAGUACAGUAUUUUUGUAAUUGUUCGUUUGAUACGAUUAGCUAUUGAAGUGUUAGCAGUAGUACUAAUUUGAACAUAGUUUUUGCUUCUGUGAGACGGCGUUCUAAAUAUACCUAUAACUUAACAACCUGUAACUCUACUUUCAUAAAUAGGUUUCCCCAUCUCCUCCCAUACCAUGGGCCAGAGGAGCAUGACCACCUGGGUGAGGAGUUUCUGAAUUAUCAGACCAUGCCAACCACCUCCCUUCAGGACGAAACUGAGAUGGAAAGCUUCUGGGCUGGAAUGGCAACACGGAAACAUAAGAUGGCAGGAACUAAAGAAUUUGAGAGGCUUGUUGCCGUCGCCAAGCUGGUCCUGGUGUUGCCCCAUUCGAAUGCAGAUGCUGAGAGGGUGUUUUCAGUGU